rnacentral:lncRNA from 1 species
AAGAGAGGCAGCGGCGACCAUUCCAGACCCGGGCUGGGCUGCGCGGAGGGGACGCCGCGGCGCCCAGGCUGGACGUGCGCACAUGCGCGCCGGAGUCCUGGCGGCUGCCUCACCUCGCCGCGCGUGCGCAUAACUCCUGCUGUCGCCAAUGGAAGUUCCCCGCGUCCCAAUGCAGGCCGCGGGUGCUGUGUGGUGGUUCCUCUCCCAGAGUUCUCGAGGCUGGGCUUCAGGGAAGGAACUGCAACCAGCACUGCGAAAGAGAACUUGCAAAGUUAAUUUCUUUGUCUUGUAGAGAUAAGCAGUUUCUCCAGACUUCGUCUUGCUGCUCAUUAUAACCAACUGCCCCUCUGGCUCGCCUCAGCCCAAGAAGUGACAGAGUGUGCAGAUGGCAGCCCCAGGAGGAUGGAGCCCAGUUUCCUUUCCACGAGAGAAGGGAUGCUGACUACAGAAUGGACAGGACUAAACUUCUCAGUGACUCCAGUUCAAUGAUGGCAAACCCUGUUGACCUUUCAGUGAUAGAGUCUGGCGAGCAGGUUCACUGUUGGUCUAGAUAAACAGCCACUUGUUCCAAUCUUUGAUAUUGCUCAAAUGUGGCAACCAGGGCUUAUGACACUAACCCCAAUCCCCUGUUGAAGCCCCUCCAACAUGGGCCAUGUUCUGACUCACCAUCACCUGAGAAGGCUGCCUGGCACCCAGGGACAAGGCACAGGCGGUUAAUUUGCAAAGGCUUCAGAAAAGAGGAAGAGGAGAGAGCUGUGAGCACCAAAGAGUCACCUGUGUGUCAGCCCCCCACGCCCCCAAAUCAGUAGAGCUGCAGAGGUUGUGAAAGGGGAUCUCAUGCACGAUUGUCUACAAGCAGAAAGGCCCUUCUUCAUGGGCGAGUGAAAGGUUGCCUCUCUCGGCUUUUGGCUUUUGGUUUGUAUUUGACUUCAAUGUUUGGUGAUGCUUUUUGAUGCUCGAGCAUCCAGCUUUCCUUUGCUUGUGCUUCAGCUACCUUUGAUGGACUCUAUGUGCCAGUCCAAGGUGGGACAGCCAGCCUGAUGAUGUGGCACCUCAGGGCGCUCAAGACUGAGGGCAGAAAUAAGCAAGGGGGAAAUUGAAGCUACCACUGCAAAAUGGAGCCUUAAAGUUAGCUUUUGUUUCUUGUAGAGAUAAUCAAGUUCUCCAUAAUCCCUCCUACUCAGCACAUAAGCAGCACCCCAGCCUCUCUUCAGCCCAAAGAAGGGACAGAAUAUGCAGAUCCCACAGGAGGCGGGAGGCUGAGUUCCUUUCCACAAGAAAGAGGAACCAACCAAGAUGACCGGAAGUGAUAAAGCAACCGCAGGCAAAGGAACCUAAGCGUAUAAUCCUAAGUGGCCGGCCAGUAACACUUCAGGACAGUGACAUGGCGGAAUCUUCUUUGGGCGGGCCUUCUGUUUCCUCUUUUGGGCAAAAUCAAGGAGAGCUUCUGAGUUCAGGCCCCAGUUCUGCCUCCCCACGACCGUCAGGCAGCCCCUGCCCCGGAGGACCAGCGGCUGCAAGACCCACAGGGCCCAAACGUGCUGACCACAUGGGCAGAUGCGGCAUCCCUGUGUGCAUUUGCCCUGCCUGCAGCUUGUCUGUGCCCAGCCUCAGGCCCCAGUGCUGGACCCUGUUCUUUUUGUGCAGAACAGAGCAAAGAGUAUUUUAAAAGCUGUCCUCCUGGUCUACACCUCAGAUGAGCAGACGCGACUCAGUACCUGACACUUCGAGUACUGCACAGGCAUGAAAAUGCACGCAGCUCAUGCCAAGGCCUCUGGGCAAGCAAUGUUAACAAAAAAUCAGACGUCUGGGGACAGACUUUCUAUCACCUGUAUAUUGUACAUGUGGAAAUUAUGACCAAGGAUCAGAACUCGUGUGUUCAAUAAACUAUGGAAAAUCACAGACAACUUAAGCAGUCAUUACUCUGGAACUCUUUGCUCCAAUGGUUCAAGCCAAAACUCUUGAAGUCAUACCUGGCUGCUCUGCCAGAAACACCCCAAGCCGAAAUGCUACCCUCUCCACUCUGCACUCCUAGCUUGUCUUAAAACAGUGCCUACCAGCUGGUUUCCCACAUGCAGGUAUUUUGCCCUUCUAUAUUUACCCCACUCAGCAGCCUGAGUGAUCCUUAAAAAUAGAAAAAGUAAGACUAUAAAAAUCA